UCCCCAAUAGUCUAAUUAGUUAGGAUACAAGUUAUCUAUUUUGAGGUCCGGGUUCAAUUCCCGGUUGGGGAA